rnacentral:lncRNA from 1 species
GUUCACUCAAGAUGGAUGGAUGAAGUGUAAAAAUAGAUUUUGUGACACUGAAGCCCAUGUGGGUUUUUUAGAAGACAAGACGACACGGUGAAGCCAUACCUGAUCAGACUGUGUGGGGUUUUUUAAAAGACAAGACGACACGGUGAAGCCAUACCUGAUCAGACUGUGUGCUUGGACGAGUAAAAAAUCGCUCGUGGUCCACUGAAAAAUGGAAAUGUGAGAUGUGAAAACUGCAAUGUGUAUUUGUUUUUGGG